CCUACGGGAGGCUGCAGUCGCGAAUCAUUCACAAUGGACGCAAGUCUGAUGAUGCCACGCCGCGUGCGGGAUGAAGGCCUCUGGGUUGUAAACCGCUGUCAAUGGAGGGGCUGCUUCUAAAGGAAGCCCCGGCAAAACAUGUGCCAGCAGCCGCGGUAAUACAUGUGGGGCAAGCGUUGUUCGGAAUUACUGGGCAUAAAGGGUGCGUAGGCGGCAUGCCAAGUCAGGGGUGAAAGGUUUCGGCCCAACCGGGACAGUGCCUUUGAUACUGGCGUGCUUGAGUGCGUGAGGGGUGACUGGAACGAGUGGUGUAGCGGUGAAAUGCGUAGAUAUCACUCGGAAGGCCAACGGCGAAGGCAGGUCACUGGUACGCACUGACGCUGAGGCACGAAAGCGUGGGGAGCAAACAGGAUUAGAUACCCUUGUAGUC
rnacentral:rRNA from 1 species